ACUAAGCAUUAAUUAUAAGAAUAUUAUUAUUUUACAGGUUAAAUGACAAGCAUGAUGCUGUCCUACAUCAGUCCUCAGACCUGACAGACUUUAUUGACUCCUGAAAGUUCAGGACUUUGUCACAGUUCAAGUGUUUAGGAGAAGUAGCUGAACCAGGAGAACCUGUUGGACUACUAGCAGCACAAUCUAUUGGUGAACCUUCCACUCAGAUGAUAUUGAAUACAUUUCAUUUUGCCGGUAGAGGAGAAAUGAACAUCACACUAGGAAUGCCACG